rnacentral:snRNA from 1 species
UAACCUGUGCUCCAGGGGAGAUACCAUGAUCACGAAGGUGGUUUUCCCAGGGUGAGGCUCAUCCAUUGCACUGCGGGUGUGCUGACCCCUGCGAUUUCCCCAAAUGCGGGAAACUCGACUGCAUAAUUUGUGGUGGGGGGGGACUGCGUUCGUGCUCUCCCCGG